UACGGGGGGAGCAAGCGUUGUUCGGAUUUACUGGGCGUAAAGGGCGCGUAGGCGGUCAGCACAAGUCAGUUGUGAAAUCUCCGGGCUUAACUCGGAAAGGUCAACUGAUACUGUGCGACUAGAGUGCAGAAGGGGCAACUGGAAUUCUCGGUGUAGCGGUGAAAUGCGUAGAUAUCAGGAAGAACACCGGUGGCGAAGGCGGCUCGCUGGGCCAGUUCUGACACUCAUACGCGAAAGCGUGGGGAGCAAACAGG
rnacentral:rRNA from 1 species